rnacentral:lncRNA from 1 species
AUUUCCUUGGGAAAAGGUGGAGAGCAACACUUGGACCCUCCUUUUGAAAAUCUGCCUUUUAAAAUCCCCAUUGGCCCUUUACGUCGGAGCCAUCGCGCUGGUUUCGGAAGACGCAGGCUGGUGUGCAGCCCCGCGUGCCCAGGGCCUUUUCUGCUCGUGCAGCUCCGCAAUUGUAACAAAUACUUUUUCCAUAAGAUGUCAGUGUGGCACAGGAUUUAAAUAUUUGUUUGCUGGUUGUGCAAGUGAUCCAUCAGCGGAAAAUGAUGGAAAGCCAUAUUCUGGGCUGUCAGCAAGUUUCAGCUUAUUUACAGCUGACAGUAUUAAUUUCUUCAUUUGCGGGGAGGAGGAGGAGCUGCUGCACUSAUCCGGCACCAAGAAAAGACGAUCCCUCGCCCGCAGUGUUUAUACUCCAGUGAAUGUUUUCAGAGCUCAUGCGGUGUCCAGCAAGCCGGGGGRCUGUGCUUUCCAAUAGCAACAGAUGACAGAGAUGAAAAUAUAAUAGCAGCUGAAUUCCUCCUUUACCACAAAAAGAGCAGAGCUCCAGCAAAGAGCCGUCUCCUGCUCCGAGCGUAUUGUCUCASAGGCAAAGCACGUAUCACUUAGCUAACGUGAACUGCCAGGAAGCAAUACUCAUUGUCACGGCCUUGAAAUGAUGAAGGAAGAGAUUAUGGAGAGACGUAUUUCUGGCCUAGGAGCAGCCUGCACUUAACAGCUAUCAGCGCACAAGUGCCAAAAGGAAAACGUUCACCUCCCUGGUGCCAGCGGGACUCUGCGGACCCAUUCUUUGGCCUCUGCAACGUUAUAAAGUGGAAAUAAUGGCAUUUUGGAGGAUGGCCAUUUUGCUGCUAGGAACGCUGCUGCGGCGAGACCGCCAAGUUUCCACCUCUGGCGGAGGCAGGGCUUUGCCCAGACCGUGGAUGUUGAACCAGUGCCGCGAAGCAGCGGCGUGACCGUCCCUGCCAGCGCUGCCGCGUCGGGAGGCCGUUUUGCACCACGCUGCGGUGCCGGUGGCAUCUUCCCGGGCAGGCUGCUGUCACCAUGCAGCAGCGGCGAGCCUUGCUGCACCGCUCCCGCUGCGGGCUUCAUCGUCGGCUGGGGUUUCAGCACGAACUCGAGUGCCUUCCUCCGCGAGGAUGGGCCCCUUUUGCACUGAGCUGCAACGUGC